rnacentral:rRNA from 1 species
AUUGAACGCUGGCGGCAUGCUUUACACAUGCAAGUCGGACGGCGGCACAGAGAAGCUUGCUUCUUGGGUGGCGAGUGGCGAACGGGUGAGUAAUAUAUCGGAACGUACCGAGUAAUGGGGGAUAACUAAUCGAAAGAUUAGCUAAUACCGCAUAUUCUCUGAGGAGGAAAGCAGGGGACCUUCGGGCCUUGCGUUAUUCGAGCGGCCGAUAUCUGAUUAGCUAGUUGGUGGGGUAAAGGCCUACCAAGGCGACGAUCAGUAGCGGGUCUGAGAGGAUGAUCCGCCACACUGGGACUGAGACACGGCCCAGACUCCUACGGGAGGCAGCAGUGGGGAAUUUUGGACAAUGGGCGCAAGCCUGAUCCAGCCAUGCCGCGUGUCUGAAGAAGGCCUUCGGGUUGUAAAGGACUUUUGUCAGGGAAGAAAAGGCUGUUGCUAAUAUCAAUAGCUGAUGACGGUACCUGAAGAAUAAGCACCGGCUAACUACGUG